GGUUAAGCGACUAAGCGUACACGGUGGAUGCCCUGGCAGUCAGAGGCGAUGAAGGACGUGCUAAUCUGCGAAAAGCGCCGGCGAGGUGAUAUGAACCUUUGACCCGGCGAUGUCCGAAUGGGGAAACCCAGUGUGUUCCGACACACUAUCGUUAACUGAAUACAUAGGUUAACGAGGCGAACCGGGGGAACUGAAACAUCUAAGUACCCCGAGGAAAAGAAAUCAACCGAGAUUCCCCCAGUAGCGGCGAGCGAACGGGGAGCAGCCCGGAGUCUGAAUCAGCUUGUGUGUUAGUGGAACGGUCUGGAAAGUCCGACGGUACAGGGUGAUAGUCCCGUACACGAAAAUGCACAUGCUGUGAACUCGAAGAGUAGGGCGGGACACGUGGUAUCCUGUCUGAAUAUGGGGGACCAUCCUCCAAGGCUAAAUACUCCUGACUGACCGAUAGUGAACCAGUACCGUGAGGGAAAGGCGAAAAGAACCCCGGCGAGGGGAGUGAAAAAGAACCUGAAACCGUGUACGUACAAGCAGUGGGAGCACCUUCGGGUGUGACUGCGUACCUUUUGUAUAAUGGGUCAGCGACUUAUAUUCUGUAGCAAGGUUAACCGUAUAGGGGAGCCGAAGGGAAACCGAGUCUUAACUGGGCGUUAAGUUGCAGGGUAUAGACCCGAAACCCGGUGAUCUAGCCAUGGGCAGGUUGAAGGUUGGGUAACACUAACUGGAGGACCGAACCGACUAAUGUUGAAAAAUUAGCGGAUGACCUGUGGCUGGGGGUGAAAGGCCAAUCAAACCGGGAGAUAGCUGGUUCUCCCCGAAAGCUAUUUAGGUAGCGCCUCGUGAACUCAUCUUCGGGGGUAGAGCACUGUUUCGGCUAGGGGGCCAUCCCGGCUUACCAACCCGAUGCAAACUACGAAUACCGAAGAAUGUUAUCACGGGAGACACACGGCGGGUGCUAACGUCCGUCGUGAAGAGGGAAACAACCCAGACCGCCAGCUAAGGUCCCAAAGUCAUGGUUAAGUGGGAAACGAUGUGGGAAGGCACAGACAGCCAGGAUGUUGGCUUAGAAGCAGCCAUCAUUUAAAGAAAGCGUAAUAGCUCACUGGUCGAGUCGGCCUGCGCGGAAGAUGUAACGGGGCUAAACCAUGCACCGAAGCUGCGGCAGCGACGCUUAUGCGUUGUUGGGUAGGGGAGCGUUCUGUAAGCCGUUGAAGGUGUGCUGUGAGGCAUGCUGGAGGUAUCAGAAGUGCGAAUGCUGACAUAAGUAACGAUAAAGCGGGUGAAAAGCCCGCUCGCCGGAAGACCAAGGGUUCCUGUCCAACGUUAAUCGGGGCAGGGUGAGUCGACCCCUAAGGCGAGGCCGAAAGGCGUAGUCGAUGGGAAACAGGUUAAUAUUCCUGUACUUGGUGUUACUGCGAAGGGGGACGGAGAAGGCUAUGUCAGCCGGGCGACGGUUGUCCCGGUUUAAGCAUGUAGGCGGAGGUUCCAGGUAAAUCCGGUACCUUAUUAACGCUGAGGUGUGAUGACGAGGCACUACGGUGCUGAAGUGAUAAAUGCCCUGCUUCCAGGAAAAGCCUCUAAGCAUCAGGUAACACGAAAUCGUACCCCAAACCGACACAGGUGGUCAGGUAGAGAAUACCAAGGCGCUUGAGAGAACUCGGGUGAAGGAACUAGGCAAAAUGGUGCCGUAACUUCGGGAGAAGGCACGCUGAUAUGUAGGUGAAGCCCCUGCGGGCGGAGCUGAAAUCAGUCGAAGAUACCAGCUGGCUGCAACUGUUUAUUAAAAACACAGCACUGUGCAAACACGAAAGUGGACGUAUACGGUGUGACGCCUGCCCGGUGCCGGAAGGUUAAUUGAUGGGGUUAGCGGCAACGCGAAGCUCUUGAUCGAAGCCCCGGUAAACGGCGGCCGUAACUAUAACGGUCCUAAGGUAGCGAAAUUCCUUGUCGGGUAAGUUCCGACCUGCACGAAUGGCGUAAUGAUGGCCAGGCUGUCUCCACCCGAGACUCAGUGAAAUUGAACUCGCUGUGAAGAUGCAGUGUACCCGCGGCAAGACGGAAAGACCCCGUGAACCUUUACUAUAGCUUGACACUGAACACUGGUCCUUGAUGUGUAGGAUAGGUGGGAGGCUUUGAAGCGUGGACGCCAGUCUGCGUGGAGCCGCCCUUGAAAUACCACCCUUUAAUGGCUGGUGUUCUAACGUAGACCCGUGAUCCGGGUUGCGGACAGUGUCUGGUGGGUAGUUUGACUGGGGCGGUCUCCUCCCAAAGAGUAACGGAGGAGCACGAAGGUUGGCUAAUCCUGGUCGGACAUCAGGAGGUUAGUGCAAUGGCAUAAGCCAGCUUGACUGCGAGCGUGACGGCGCGAGCAGGUGCGAAAGCAGGUCAUAGUGAUCCGGUGGUUCUGAAUGGAAGGGCCAUCGCUCAACGGAUAAAAGGUACUCCGGGGAUAACAGGCUGAUACCGCCCAAGAGUUCAUAUCGACGGCGGUGUUUGGCACCUCGAUGUCGGCUCAUCACAUCCUGGGGCUGAAGUAGGUCCCAAGGGUAUGGCUGUUCGCCAUUUAAAGUGGUACGCGAGCUGGGUUUAGAACGUCGUGAGACAGUUCGGUCCCUAUCUGCCGUGGGCGCUGGAGAAUUGAGGGGGGCUGCUCCUAGUACGAGAGGACCGGAGUGGACGCAUCACUGGUGUUCGGGUUGUCAUGCCAAUGGCACUGCCCGGUAGCUAAAUGCGGAAGAGAUAAGUGCUGAAAGCAUCUAAGCACGAAACUUGCCCCGAGAUGAGUUCUCCCUGAGACUUUAAGUCUCCUGAAGGAACGUUGAAGACGACGACGUUGAUAGGUCGGGUGUGUAAGCGCAGCGAUGCGUUGAGCUAACCGAUACUAAUGAACCGUGAGGCUUAACCUU
rnacentral:rRNA from 1 species